AAGGUAUCAUAAGGCCUAGCAAUUCUCCUUAUUGUAGUCCUAUAUGGAUCGUACCGAAAAAGCAAGAUGCUUCAGCGAUAGGCACCCAAUACCAAAUAUGGACGAGAUUUUAGGAAAACUAGGUAGAUGCAAUUA